rnacentral:rRNA from 1 species
GGUGACUUCAAUGAAAUCCUUUACUCACAUGAAAAGGAAGGGGGAGCCCCAAGACCGGCGUGCAUGAUGCAAGACUUUCGAGAUGCUUUGGUGGAUUGCGAGUUGGAUGAUUUGGGGUUCUCGGGGGACCAGUUUACAUGGAGGAGAAGGAGAAUAAGAGAAAGACUUGACAGAAUGGUGUAUAAUGGCAGUUUCCAUGGUCUGUUUCCAAACGCCACUAUAACCAAUGAACCACACUUAAAAUCAGACCGUAGGCCUAUUGUGUUGGACACAGAUGGAGAAGUGGAUGCUAAUAAUCAUAGGCAUGGAGGGGUGAAAUAG